rnacentral:rRNA from 1 species
GAUGAACGCUGGCGGCGUGCCUAAUACAUGCAAGUCGAGCGAACAGACGAGGAGCUUGCUCCUCUGACGUUAGCGGCGGACGGGUGAGUAACACGUGGAUAACCUACCUAUAAGACUGGGAUAACUUCGGGAAACCGGAGCUAAUACCGGAUAAUAUAUUGAACCGCAUGGUUCAAUAGUUAAAGACGGUUUUGCUGUCACUUAUAGCUGGAUCCGCGCCGCAUUAGCUAGUUGGUAAGGUAACGGCUUACCAAGGCAACGAUGCGUAGCCGACCUGAGAGGGUGAUCGGCCACACUGGAACUGAGACACGGUCCAGACUCCUACGGGAGGCAGCAGUAGGGAAUAUUCCGCAAUGGGCGAAAGCUUGACGGAGCAACGCCGCGUGAGUGAUGAAGGUCUUCGGAUCGUAAAACUCUGUUAUUAGGGAAGAACAAAUGUGUAAGUAACUAUGCACGUCUUGACGGUACCUAAUCAGAAAGCAACGGCUAACUACGUG